rnacentral:rRNA from 1 species
UGGGGGAUAUUGCACAAUGGGCGAAAGCCUGAUGCAGCGACGCCGCGUGGGGGAUGAAGGCUUUCGGGUUGUAAACCUCUUUCGCUAUCGAACAAGGCCCGCUUAGGGUGGGUUGAGGGUAGGUGGAGAAGAAGCGCCGGCUAACUACGUGCCAGCAGCCGCGGUAAUACGUAGGGCGCGAGCGUUGUCCGGAAUUAUUGGGCGUAAAGGGCUUGUAGGCGGCUUGUUGCGCCUGCUGUGAAAACGCGGGGCUUAACUUCGCGCGUGCAGUGGGUACGGGCAGGCUUGAGUGUGGUAGGGGUGACUGGAAUUCCAGGUGUAGCGGUGGAAUGCGCAGAUAUCUGGAGGAACACCGCUGGAGAAGGCAGGUCACUGGGCCAUUACUGACGCUGAGGAGCGAAAGCAUGGGUAGCGAACAGG